rnacentral:rRNA from 1 species
AUUGAACGCUGGCGGCAGGCUUAACACAUGCAAGUCGAGCGGAGAGAGGUAGCUUGCUACUGAUCUUAGCGGCGGACGGGUGAGUAAUGCUUAGGAAUCUGCCUAUUAGUGGGGGACAACAUUUCGAAAGGAAUGUUAAUACCGCAUACGUCCUACGGGAGAAAGCAGGGGAUCUUCGGACCUUGCGCUAAUAGAUGAGCCUAAGUCGGAUUAGCUAGUUGGUGGGGUAAAGGCCUACCAAGGCGACGAUCUGUAGCGGGUCUGAGAGGAUGAUCCGCCACACUGGGACUGGGACACGGCCCAGACUCCUACGGGAGGCAGCAGUGGGGAAUAUUGGACAAUGGGCGCAAGCCUGAUCCAGCCAUGCCGCGUGUGUGAAGAAGGCCUUAUGGUUGUAAAGCACUUUAAGCGAGGAGGAGGCUACUUUAGUUAAUACCUAGAGAUAGUGGACGUUACUCGCAGAAUAAGCACCGGCUAACUCUGUGCCAGCCGCCGCCGUAAGAC